rnacentral:rRNA from 1 species
GACGAACCGAGCGAACGUUGUUCGGAAUCACUGGGCUUAAAGGGCGCGUAGGCGGGUGUUCAAGUCCGGGGUGAAAUCCUCCAGCUCAACUGGAGAACUGCCUCGGAUACUGGACGUCUCGAGGGUGGUAGGGGUAUGCGGAACUAUCGGUGGAGCGGUGAAAUGCGUUGAUAUCGAUAGGAACUCCGGUGGCGAAGGCGGCAUACUGGACCACAUCUGACGCUGAGGCGCGAAAGCCAGGGGAGCAAACGGG